UACGUAGGGGGCUAGCGUUGUCCGGAAUCAUUGGGCGUAAAGAGCGUGUAGGCGGCCCGGUAAGUCCGCUGUGAAAGUCCAGGGCUCAACCCUGGGAUGCCGGUGGAUACUGUCGGGCUCGAGUCCGGAAGAGGAGUGUGGAAUUCCUGGUGUAGCGGUGAAAUGCGCAGAUAUCAGGAGGAACACCAAUUGCGAAGGCAGCUCGCUGGGACGUUACUGACGCUGAGACGCGAAAGCGUGGGGAGCAAACAGG
rnacentral:rRNA from 1 species